GAUGAAGAACGUAGCGAAAUGCGAUAAGUAAUGUGAAUUGCAGAAUUCAGUGAAUCAUCGAAUCUUUGAACGCACAUUGCGCCCUCUGGUAUUCCGGGGGGCAUGCCUGUUCGAGCGUCAUUAUAACCACUCAAGCUCUCGCUUGGUAUUGGGGUUCGCGGUUUCGCGGCCCCUAAAAUCAGUGGCGGUGCCUGUCGGCUCUACGCGUAGUAAUACUUCUCGCGAUUGAGUUCGAUAGGUCUACUUGCCAGUAACCCCCAAUUUUUACAGGUUGACCUCGGAUCAGGUAGGGAUACCCGCUGAACUUAAGCAUAUCAAUAACGGAGGA
rnacentral:misc_RNA from 1 species